UUUUUUGAAAUAGCUACUCUCGAACUCAGACACUAUGGUUCGCGCCUCGUUCGCGCGCGCAUUGUGAGCAUUCAAGUUUCGUUUUUUGCACUUGCUUAGUAGCUGAAAUUGCGGACAUUGCAGGGUUGGGCUUGAUGACAUUUGUUGCUCAGCUGCCGCGACACAUUUGGAGCAAAGCUUCUGCUUAUUUCCUUUGGCCGCACCUUAUAUUUGUUGUCUUUGUCAACAUCUGACCUGUUUCUGCCUUGUUGAAAGCAAGUGGCCACAAGUACUGCUUAGUUUGCUCAGUCUAAACCUGGUAGUGCAUCCAGUUUAGCGCCGUGCACAUGUGUGGGGCAUUUCCUUGUUCUUAUUGUGCUGAUGUGUCGUGUUGUACAUAGGAGGUAAGCCGGUCCUCCACAAUAUGGUUGUCAGUGUUGCUGAAUACAACACAGUCUUGCUGCCUUGACACGCCACAUCAUUUGACAUCUUGGGCUGCAGUCAGAUGUGCUGUAUAUUGGUGGGUGUCCGGAAUCUUGAGAUCCAGACAGGCUGCCACUGGAAGUCCCUUGGGUCAGGUGAUACCUCAAAUGCCUCCAAAUAUUUCACUGUAUAAACCUUUAUAGAAUGAGAAACUUGUCAAGAGCCAAGUUGUUACACACAAAAGAAAACUGUCACUAAAUAGUGACCAGUUUCAUUUCUUUUGUAAGCCACAGGUUGUGUGCAUUUGACAUUGCUGACCAACUCUUAUCUACUCUCCGAUACAAUAUCCAUACUCAUUGUAUAUAUAUUAAAUAAAAAUACAUAUAAGAUUGAUCUGGUCAGAAAGAAUUGCCAUUUUGGGAGGGGGUAGGCUGGAGGACAAUUUGUCAUUCCUUUCUCUUCUCUGUGAUCGAGCUGAUCAACUUCACUACAAUGGUAAACGUACUGCAGUUCCCUGCAUUCACAUAUGUUUUCAGAGAAAACUAUUGUGUGGAGCCAUGUUUGUGGUAAUGCGAUGCAAGAUAUAUGCUGUGUCGCGUGACUCUUUAGUAAUAUUGUUAAAUUCGAGUUGUGACCAAUCUUGCUGCUCUUUAUCUGGUUCCUGGUGAGUUCGUGGAAGUUCAGGUCACGUGAAGAUACUCAAUGAAGUUUCUCUGCGAAGUUUUUAAAACUCUAGCGGCUGGCAUCAUAAAGUAAGUAUGUAAAUUGAGAGAAAAUGUACAUGAUACAGAAUAGUUCAUUUUCGCCUGCCCUCUUUGUUUUAUUUCUGGAUCUGCAAUGAACAGAUCCACAGCUUGCUCACAGGCAAGUAGGCAGUGGCUUUCUCAGCGAUGCUAAUAUCUCUAUUCUAGUGAAAGACAAUGUAAGCUACUGUUUUUGCAAGCAUUCCGCAAAUGCGGCUCGCCAUCAAGCACCAAACUUUUUAUGUCUAAAAAAAUAACUUGGAGAAGUAAAUGCCCAGUAUUCUUUUUUAGCUUUCAGUAAGCUUGCCAUAUAGCUCAGUGUUAACAUGCAGGUUAGGUUACAGAAAGCAAUAAUAAACGACAAUAAACACUGCUUGGAUGGCAAAAAACGUGAAUCAUAUCACUUUUUUUGGCAAUGACUUUUUGGGAAAUAGGAGGCUAAGCAAUUGGUGAUAUGGCUACACUGUAAAGAUUGGAUAAGAUGGAUGACUGAAUCUGCAACAGAACAUUUGUGGACAUUGUGUGAGCCACAUUUUCCAUGCUUUUUCGCCGACUAAGCGAGACUACAUGCAGUGAGGCAGCAUAGCUUACUUUUCUAUGCUUUUUUGCUGACUAAGCAAGACGACAUGCAGUGAGGCAGUAUAGGUUACUUUCCUGGUGCAUCAGCAUGGGCUUUCUACAGUUGACUUCCGUUAAUUCUACCCUGACGGCACCAACGAAAUUGAUCCAAUUAUCUGGUGGGUCGAAUUGAACAUUCAAAAAAAUGCUAAAACACCGCUGAUUCAUAUGGCAGUAUGUAAUUGACUUUAAGACGCCUCCGAGACAAACGUGCGCCAACUUUCUAUUUUUCCAAACUAUAAAACUGAAGUGCAAAUGACUUAAAACUUCAAACCCAAGUAUAAACCUAACGCAUACCUUAUUUUUGAGAAUGUAAGCUGAUUUUCUAAAGUCACCCUCGCUGCAACAAAGCCGUGUUAUGCGGUAAAGUGUAUGAAUGCUGCAAAUGCAGUUUUAGUUUCCCACUCGAGUGCACAGUGCAGGCAGUUUCCGGCUUAAUUUCCUUCGAAAACAAAAUGUGCCCUUUAGAACCAGGUCAAUACCAUAAUCGGACAUUGUGAGCUACCGUUAUGGCUUGAAAAUCUUGAAACAGACGCUGCCACUAAAAGGGGUCGUUAUUGGAGUCAGGUGCAUGCCUGUAGCUUGGUCAAGUUUGGAUUAUCUGGCGAAUGCCAAUUUUAGGAUCAAAAUAACAAAUGUUUAGGGCCGUAGAACUGCAUGGGAGCUGGCCAAGAUCUUUGGUCAGAGUCGAAUUAACUGAAAGAUUAACCGGAGUUGGAUUAACGGAAGUCUACUGUAUACACAUUUUUGUUCAACAAGGAGUUGCCAUUUUAAUACUGCUACGGGGAGGCAAACACAACAGAAAAACGUAUUUACAGUAUAUUUACAAGGCGAUCAAGCGUCAACCAUAUAAUCGAGAGCAUGCGCCAGAUCAUCAGCGUCUUCUUCAUCAAUGCUCCUCUAGAUGAAUCAUACCGUGACAAUAUGUAGUUUUCUUCUAUCAGUGUGGUAAUCGUGCUAAAUUUAGCAUUUAAGUUAAAAGGACAAGUUGCAAAGCAGGGGCACGCUUUGAGACUUGAAACAUUUGAACAUAUAAAGGUAGGACACAUUAACAGCUGCUGAAUUAACCUAAGUUGGUUGUAUUAUGUGCAUAGCAUGUGGUUGCUUUUUGGGAAUGUGGUCAUUCUGUAAAAUAAAACUGCAUUUGUUUGAAAUAAAUUGCUGAAUCUACU